rnacentral:rRNA from 1 species
UACAGAGGGGGCAAGCGUUAUUCGGAAUUAUUGGGCGUAAAGGGCGCGUAGGCGGCCUGGCAAGUGGAAGGUGAAAUCCCGAGGCUCAACCUCGGAACUGCCUUUGAUACUGGGGAUCUCGAGUCCGGGAGAGGUGAGUGGAACUGCGAGUGUAGAGGUGAAAUUCGUAGAUAUUCGCAAGAACACCAGUGGCGAAGGCGGCUCACUGGCCCGAUACUGACGCUGAGGCACGAAAGCGUGGGGAGCAAACAGG